AUUGAACGCUGGCGGCAGGCCUAACACAUGCAAGUCGAACGAGUGGCGGACGGGUUAGUUAUGUCUGUGCAACUUCCUGAUGGAUGGGGAUCACUACUGGACACUGUAGCUACUUCCGCCUACCCUCGGAUGGGCCCAGGUGGGAUUAGCUAGUGGGGGGGGUAAAGGCUCACCUAGGCGACGAUCCCUAGCGGGUCUGAGAGGAGGACCAGUCACACGGGAACGGAGACACGGUCCAGACGCCUACGGGAGGCAGCAGUGGGGAAUAUUGGACAAUGGGCGCAAGCCUGAUGCAGCCAUGCCGCGUGUAUGAAGAAGGUCUUCGGGUUGUAAAGUACUUUCAGCGGGGAGGCGUUACCAGCAGAAGAAGCACCGGCUAACUCCGUGCCAGCAGCCGCGGUAAUAC
rnacentral:rRNA from 1 species